CCAUUACCAAUUACCAGAAUAGGUAUGAUUAUUGUAUGUGAACAACUUGAGAAUGUUCAACGAUGCCGACAAUUUCAAAUAAACGUACAAAAUUUAUCAGCUGCUUUAUUGUGGUUAAUUCAAAAUAAUCCUUUAUAUCGAAACAUUAAUAUUAAUUUUGAUGCUGCAAAUCUUGAUAUUUCACAAAUAUGUCAAGUUAUCGUAACACAGGACAAUAAUACAAAUAUUGAUGUUAAUAAUUUUGUCCCAUCUACAGGUAAUAAAUAAAACUGAUUUGAUCGAAAUAGCUGGGAAUAGAGCAAUAAUUAGAGGUUCCAUACAUCAAGGUCAUGAUAUGUUUUCUGAUGCUACUAGAGGGAAACAGUGCACUGCAAUUGCAGCGGUUGCUAUAGCUAUGUCUUUAUUACAUAAUCUUCAAACUUGGACAAAGAAUCUUAUCGAUACUAUUUUAUUAAUAGGAGAUGCGUUAUAUGUAACAAGUAUAUCAAAACGAUCAUAAUUAUGGUAUAUUAACUGUAAACGGAAUUUCUGUUGCUAUAUUUAAAUUAAAUAACAACUUUUGGAUAUUUGAUUCGCAUUCAAGAGGAUCAAACGGAAGACCAGCACAAAACGUUGAUGAAAUUAUACCUGACGUACAAUCUGUUAUUGAAAAUGAAAACGAAGUACAAGAUGCUCCCUUAUAUACAUUGCGGCGGAAAACUACAGAACCUGUACAGAUGCAUACUGAAUUACGAGCUGAAGAAUUAUCUUGGUACUUUCUUUUUCCAAAAGGGCGGAAUGGACUUCAUGAACCAUCACGACUAUAUCCUAUAACGCCAUUAGAUUAUUGUCAAGCACGU